rnacentral:lncRNA from 1 species
UUCAACUUCUUUUUGCUUGGAGCGGGAGCUGGAACCAGAGCAGGAGGAGCGGCGAGAGGAGCUGGUGGUGGAACAGCUGGAGGAGGAGUUGCUGGUGGUGGAGUAGCUGGAGGAGGAGUUGCUGGAGGAGGAGAAGCAGGAGGUGGAGUGGCAGGAGGAGGAGAGGCUGGUGGUGGAGUAGCUGGAGGAGGAGAGACUGGUGGUGGAGUGGCGGGAGGAGGAGUGGCAGGAGGUGGAGUUGCAGGAGGAGGAGUAGCCGGUGGUGGAGUUGAAACUGGAGGAGGAGUAGCCGGAGGUGGAGAUUGAGUUACUGGAGGAGGAGCUGAAACCGGAGGAGGAGUAGUGGUUGGAGUUGGCGGAGCAGGAGUAGUUGUCGGAGAUUGGCCAGAAACACCA